rnacentral:rRNA from 1 species
AACGAACGCUGGCGGCAUGCCUAACACAUGCGAGUCGAACGAGACCUUCGGGUCUAGUGGCGCACGGGUGCGUAAUGCGUGGGAACCUGCCCUUAGGUUCGGAAUAACUCCCCGAAAGGGGUGCUAAUACCGGAUAAUGUCUUCGGACCAAAGAUUUAUCGCCUUUGGAUGGGCCCGCGUUGGAUUAGCUAGUUGGUAGGGUAAAAGCCUACCAAGGCGACGAUCCAUAGCUGGUCUGAGAGGAUGAUCAGCCACACUGGGACUGAGACACGGCCCAGACUCCUACGGGAGGCAGCAGUGGGGAAUAUUGGACAAUGGGCGAAAGCCUGAUCCAGCAAUGCCGCGUGAGUGAUGAAGGCCUUAGGGUUGUAAAGCUCUUUUACCCGGGAUGAUAAUGACAGUACCGGGAGAAUAAGCUCCGGCUAACUCCGUG